CUCCAUCUUAGAGCGUAACUUUUCAUAAAACAUCCUAGUAUCCAACUGAUAAUAGAAAACGGAAGGAAACCGAGGCAAGAUUCUGAUUGGAUCGUGGAAUUUUCUUGGUGGGAUAUCAUUUUUCCUCCAAAGCUCAUUUCUUUUUUGGGGCGAUACAUCAAAUCACUGGGCUAAAGAACGAGAUAAUGGUUGAGGAAAGUCCACGGCGUUUACCUACUGGAUCUCGGUGUUUGUGUAAUUGCUAACAAUGAUAAUUAUACGAAGAAGAAGAAGAAUAAGAAGAGGCACUGUGAUGACACUGCCGAGCCCGAAGAAGAAGAAGAAGACUUUGGCGAAGAAUUCAAAACUUGAAGCCAAGAGGAGGAAAGGAAACCAAGAUACAGAUAAUAAAGAGUUGAAUGAUGAUACUGACAGUGUCAUAAACUAGAAAACGAGAAAUCGGUUUAAGAGAAAGCGAAAAGCAAAAAGUAAGGCAGAGGAGGAGCUGUCAAAUGAAGAUUUAGUAAGCAUUGCCGAAGAGGUGAGGUGAUUCAUUUACUACUCAAGAUGGAUGUAAUGCAAUGUGGCAUGCCAUGUUUUACAAAUUAAAGAAUUGUUGAAGAAUUUCAUUUAAAACGGAAGCCAUUCUGAUGAUGGAUAGCAUGAUUGUUCAUGCCAACAGCGACUUGUGAACUUGAAUUGCUAUUUCAUCAUAUUUAAUCACAAUCAAGAAACAUAAGUGUCGUUAAAGAUACACUCUUUUCUGGGCUUAAGCGGUGUGUUUGGUGAUUGAUCCCAGGGUAGCAUGUCAAAGUUGAUGAGGAUUCAAGGAAAAGGCAAACAUAAAGUAGAGAACGUAAAUUACAAAGACAACUGACAACAGCAACUUCCUCUAAGCAUGAUUUAGAAGAGUCUCUCAUUGUUCCUGAUGACGAACAUAUAUCAGCUAGCUGUGAAACACUGCUUCUUAUAGUUCAACUCUGAAUUUAGUAAGUGAACAAAAUAUCAUUUCCACAAGUAGGACAGGGGAUACUGCACAUGAUAUGCUGGAUCUGUUUUUGUGUCCCUUGCUUAAGAAGCUGAUGGAAGAUGACAGAAUUUGUAACAAAGGAUAUGGAUUUUUUUUGCAUAUGAGCGGAAAAAGAAAAGUCAGAAUGAUGUUGGAGGAGGAAUGGCGCCCCCGAUGAAGAAGAGCAUUCUCAAAGACAAGGUUACCUUGUUGCUUGACUGAUUGAAAGAUCCAAAUUUCUUAACGGGGAGCCAUCAAUUAUCCGGAAGCCAUAAUAUUGAGAUGCUACUGUGAUACUCUCAAUUUGUUUCCAUCAAGCAAGCAAUCUCUGGAAACUUCCAUCACCUCUUCACUACAGAUGAUAUUUCCCCAGGGCAUUUGGGGCCUUGGAGGAACAAUGAGAGAUGGUGCAUGCAGAAGGGAUCUCAGAUGGAUGGUGAAUUGCCUGAUUUUAGAGGUAAAUUAUUUAUAUACUAUUAGUGUAACUGGUCAUGAUCUUUUCUUUUGCGAUUAUUUGUGUUGCUUGAUUGACUCUUUAUUGGAUGUAAGAACAACUUCUUGAUUUUCACUGCAGUCUGGUAUGAACCUGUGAGUAGGUAAUUCUUUAGAUGGUCACCGUACUGAAUUGAUUUCUUCUUCCCUCGUUAAGGUUAGACAACAAAGCUUGCCUCUUAAUCCUAUUCAGAUCUGCCUCCUUUUCUUUUAGAAAACAAUCUCUAAAAGGAUAAUUUAACAAUAUUUUGCUGCUAUAAUCAGCACCUUUGAAACAAAGUGAUGGCCUGAGUCUGAGAAGAGCAAAAGUGGGAUUGUGCUCCUGAGAUGAAGCAUAUUUGCAGGAUUUUUUUGAGGGCUAUAGGCAGUUUGGAUUUGAGUGCACUCUAAAUGAUUGGUUGUUGAUAAAGCUCAGGGACGAGGUUUUCAGAGGUUCUAUUCAUCACAAAAGUUGUGAACGGCACCUAGUUGUAGUUCGAUCAUUCUCACCUAAAAGGCUAUGAUUAAUUUAGGCCUUCGCAGUACAUAAAUAAUAAUGGGUGGCAUGAUUCAAGGACAAGCAUGGAGAAUUUGUUUUUGCCUGCUGCUGAGAGAGAAAAGGUGUAGUGGCUUCUUGUGAAGUUAAAGCCACGGCGUUCUAUAUAAGUCAUUCAUGAAAAGCUUUGAGAGAGCAUUAUUGUUAGUUAACAGGUGCAAAUCAGGGUAGUUUGAAAACGCCAUAUGAAGAUGCUCAAAUUUAGAUUGGCAGAGCCUGAAACUAAUUUUUUAGGUAAAAGUUUCCCACUCUGAAACAAAGUGCAAUAUGGAAGCAUGGUCAGGACAGUGCUAGUACGAGCACAGCUGUUACUGAUGUACAUGGGAAUGUGGUUCAUGUUUUCAGAUAGGCUGUAUCUAUGGUUUAAAACACUAGUGAUUUCCACUUUAGACAUGGUUAUUUGCAGCCAGAAAGUGUUCUAGUCAAAAUCAUUGGAGGCGUCUUUCCCCUUUCUUGAAUUUUCCCCUCUGCAGACCCAAUUUUCCACUUUAAUGAUGGUGUUUGUUUAACUUGAAAUGGUAACCUCACACCUAAAUAUUCCAUAUUGCAUAUGUGAUCUUGGCAAUCUCAAUUUCAGUUGUCCAAGCCUCUAAGGCUCUACCACUACCACAACAGUACUCCUAGAUUUUCUUUCAUAAUCUAAGCCUUGGAGCACACAGGAAAGAUGAUAUAAAAUAGGAAAAAGAAAAGGAAACACGAUAUUUUUCUGUUCUACAUAUGCAGCAAUAUAUAUAGAUUCGUAAGGUAGCUAGUACAAAUUGGUACAAUCUUAACUAGGAGAGAGCAACCCUCUAGGGGAGGCUCGUCAAUCCAAGCAAUAAAAUCACUUAUAAGAGUGGGCCGUUGAUGGGCCACUUGGUUACAAGAUCUUGAACAAUUUAUUGAACUAUUUCUGGAAUGGUCUCCUCGGGUCCGAGCCUUUGCUUAACAAACUGAAGAAUAAACUCAAGGGCUUAACUACAUCCAUGCACAAACUAGCAGAAUCAGACUCGACUUCAACAUGCAUAAUAAAUAUACAUACAUGUUAUAUAUAUAUAUAUAU